AAUAUCUGUAACGAAAUAAAUGUAUUCAGGAAUUUCUGUUAGAUUUAUAAUUAAAUUAGGGCUUUUAAAGAAAUCUCAUGCAUACCAUAAAAUUCAAUAUUUUACGCCGUACAUUUCCAUGCAAAAAUCGCUUGAACAUUGAGUGGUUGAUGAUGAGACUUCUAUAUAUCAAUAUUACCUACUGAUACGAUUAUAAAUUGUAGGCCUGGCGGUAGAACUAAACUGUGAUAUUCGACAAAGUACACAGAUUACCCGCCAAAGUAUUUAAUCUUAAGCAAUUGAAUAUACCAGACAUUCAUUGCGGUGUUUGGAAAAAAAAACUAACUCCAGAAUGCGGCGAGUAUAUUUUACUAACCAUUUUCUAAAAUUGGAAUUGGGAUGCAUGUUUUGAGCUCCAAAGCGAAGAAACUCUCAACCCAACAAAGAUUCUUGUAUGCUAUAAGCUCAGAAGCGGGCACAAUAGAUCCAGCAGGUCGCAGUGCAUAUAUUCCAAGAACAAUAAUAAUAAAAUCUUAAUUUAUUCAGU